rnacentral:misc_RNA from 1 species
UUUUGACUUCUUGGAUUUGACUUCUACAACUCUUUUUAGUAAAUCUUGCUGCCUGAUCCCACUCUUGGGUUUGGGCUCAACACGAAGUGGCAGAGGAAGCAAUGCAGGUGACGAGUUAGCAACAGCUUUCUUAAAUGCUUGAAACGCACGUUUUUCAGUGCGACGCAGAAGACGUUCUGCAUCCUCCUCAGCUUCCAUCUGUUCCUUGAGAUACAGCAAGUCAUCACUGUCCAGGGCGCCUCUUCCAUGAAGAUAACCUCCACGUUCCCCAGAAACAUCUUGCAUCUGAACAUAUUAAUCACCCAGUAGGAAACGCCAAGAUCCCUUGGAAACCAUGCGGUGGAAAGCGAUUUCUUCGUCAUCAAUUUUAUCCUUACCUUUACCCCAUUUCUUAUCUUUAGGAUCGGUGAGAUUGGUAUAUUCUCGAACUUCUCUUCCGGCCAUGGCUGCAAUUGAUCGGAGUACCAAACGGAG